rnacentral:rRNA from 1 species
GUGUCAGCAGCCGCGGUAAUACGUAGGUUGCAAGCGUUAUCCGGAUUUAUUGGGCGUAAAGCGCGCGCAGGUGGUUUCUUAAGUCUGAUGUAAAAUCCCACGGCUCAACCUUGGAGGGUCAUUGGAAACUGGGAGACUUGAGGGCAGAAGAGUACAGUGAAAUUCCAUGUUUAGCGGUGAAAUGCGUAGAGAUAUGGAGGAACACCAGUGGCGAAGGCGACUUUCUGGUCUGUAACUGACACUGAGGCGCGAAAGCGUGGGGAGCAAACAGGAUUAGAUACCCUGGUAGUCCACGCCGUAAACGAUGAGUGCUAAGUGUUAGAGGGUUUCCGCCCUUUAGUGCUGAAGUUAACGCAUUAAGCACUCCGCCUGGGGAGUACGGCCGCAAGGCUGAAACUCAAAGGAAUUGUCGGGG